rnacentral:rRNA from 1 species
UACGUAGGGUGCGAGCGUUAAUCGGAAUUACUGGGCGUAAAGCGUGCGCAGGCGGUUCGCCAAGUUUGGAGUGACAGUUGUCGGCUCAACCGACAAAGGACUUCAAAAACUGGUGAACUUGAGGACGAGAGAGGAACAUGGAACUCCAGGUGUAGUAGUGAAAUGCGUAGAUAUCUGGAAGAACACCAAUGGCGAAGGCAAUGUUCUGGCUCGUUUCUGACGCUCAGGUGCGAAAGCCAGGGGAGCGAACGGG